GCCAUAGCAUACAUAACCUCCCUUAGAAAUGUACCAAUUGAGGACUAUAUUCAUGAAUAUUAUUCAGUUGAGGGGUUCAAAUUGGCAUAUCAGUUUGAGGUCAAUCCUAUGGAUGACAAGUCACAAUGGCCUACAGUGAGCCUAGAUUUUGAUAUGAAGCCACCUAUACUUGUGCGGGGUGCUGGACGGCCAAAGAAGAAGAGGAUUAAGGCCAAAGGAGAACCUGGGAAGAGAGGACUAUAUCAAUGCAAACGAUGCUUCUAGUUUGGGCAUAUUGAGAAAGGUUGCACAAAUCGACAGGUGCAACCUGAUGAAGACCUUCCAAAAUAGCCUCCUAAUAAGAACAACAAGUCACAGCAGGCCAACAAGAAGAAAAAAACAGAACCUGCAAUGAAUUCUGAAAAUAUGCCCAGUCCAAAGAAGGGCAGGAAGAAGAAGGGAGUUACUAAGGAAGCAUCUACAAAAGGACCAGCUACUGCAUCAUCUAGUCUUGGGCCAAUGACAAGAAAAAGAUCAGCUGCACUGGCUGCAACUCCACCGGCGAGCAGGAGGAAACUAGUUCCUUAAUUAAUAUUGGUUUAUGUUUCAACAUGUGAUGGAGAACAACACACCUCCAUGGUUAUCUGAGCAUGUAAUGGAUGUUUAAUUUCUACUUCUGUAAUGGAUGUUUAAUUUCUACUACUGUAAUGGAUGUUAUCUGAACCUGUAAUGGAUGUUUAAUUUCUACUACUGUAAUGGAUGUUAUCUGAACCUAUAAUGGAUGUUCUCUCGUUUCGGGUA